rnacentral:rRNA from 1 species
AAUUGGACGCAACGCGAAAGAACCUUACCUGGGUUUGACAUCCUGUGAAUCUUUCAGAGAUGAUAGAGUGCCUUCGGGAGCACAGAGACAGGUGCUGCAUGGCUGUCGUCAGCUCGUGUCGUGAGAUGUUUGGCUAAGUCCAGCAACGGGCGCAACCCUUAUCGUUAGUUGCCAGCACGUAAAGGUGGGAACUCUAGCGAGACUGCCCGGGUUAACCGGGAGGAAGGCGGGGAUGACGUCAAGUCCUCAUGGCCCUUAUGUCCAGGGCUACACACGUGCUACAAUGGUAAAUACAGAGGGCAGCGAGCCGGCAACGGUGAGCGAAUCCCUAAAGUUUAUCUCAGUCCGGAUUGGAGUCUGCAACUCGACUCCAUGAAGUUGGAAUCGCUAGUAAUCGCGGAUCAGCAUGCCGCGGUGAAUAUGUUCCCGGGCCUUGUACACACCGCCCGUCACACCAUGAGAGUUGAUGAUACCCGACGUCGUUGGGCUAACUAUUUAUAGAAGCAGGCGCCUAAGGUAUGGUUGAUAAUUGGGGUGAAGUCGUAACAAGGUA